AAAUAAGAAAAAAAUAAUUAACAUUAAUUUCAAUUUUUAAGCAAGAAUUGAAAAAAAAUAUAUGCUAAAAUAUUUAAGGAAAAAUUUGUUUGGUAGAGAAUUUAACACAUAAAAGACAAUUUGGAGAGUUUUACUGCUGCUAUACAACAACAUGUAUCUUACUGUGAAACAGAUUGCAUGAACGAAGUGGAUGUGAAAAAAAUGCUAUUUGUACCACUGUCAUUGUUAACUAUACAUGUAUUAUAAAUUAAAUGCCAGGUUAAUAUUAAUCAAAUCAUAAUUUUUGUGUUUUAGAAAUAAUAUCACUUUCUAAAGCUAAACUUUCUAAACACUUGCAUCAUUGCCUAGUCGGUCAAUAAUUGCAUUUGGGAUAAAGGCCUAAAAUUAUGUCCUGAUAUUUACAUGUGCAGCUACCUUUGUUGCAAAUAGCAUUUACACUAUUAAUAAUGAGGGUGAAAAAAGCUACACCAUAAGCAAUGCAUCAGAAGCAGAACUCAGAUUAUAGACAUCAUGACCACUGAUAUAUGCUAUAAUAUUUUUUAACUUCCUACAGAAAUAGUGUAUUUCUGUGUCUCUCACUGUCUCUCAUAGCUGCUACCUUGCAGCUAGAACAUGAUACAAGGCAUGGGUUUCCAAAGGUUGCUUUAAAAAUUAACCAGCAAGUUGCAAUAAUUUCUAGUGAAAAGACAAAAUCUAACAUUAACUCUAAAUGAAUGCAUAAAAUUGACAAAUUAGAUUUGGCCAUUGUGAACUGAGACGCUUCAAUUAAAUACUUCCUCCUUAAUUUGCAUAAAUUUUUAUGCUGCAACAUGUUUUGGCAUAUUUUUCCCUCUUCUUUUCCUCUUGAUACAUUUCUUAUUGCCAAUGUAAAAUUUAUUUCCUUUUUCAGGUGGCAUAAGGAAGAGGGGAACUUGAAUGUGGAGAAGGGCAGUUCUGGCAAUAAGAUGAAAUGGGCAGAAAAAACUUUCUUUGAUUUAAAAUUCAAUGUAAGGAGACUGAAGAUAACCCUGAAUGAAACUGGAAGAAAGCAUGCGUUUCCUGGUAAAAAUGAGAAGCUAAUACAUUUGCAAAAUUCUUCUGUGUCCUUCUCAGGCGGCUUAGGCUGUUCGGAAGACCAGAUGAAUUGUGUGAGAAGGCUGUCCUGCUGCAGUUAGAAAGUAUGAGAAAGGAGUGUGUGGGUGCGGUCUUCGCCUUUGCCACCUGUGCUGGCUGUCACUGAAUCAGCAGUAGGUUGACCUAAGCAGCUGUCUCCAAUUUGGCUUUCCACACUGGGGGUCCCUGGAGCAAGAUUACUGCAUAACAGUGGCAGGUGUACCUGAUAGUCCUGGAGAAAAGUCCUUUGUAAG
ensembl:lncRNA